UUUGCGUUAGGGAUUGAAGCGGCAUCCUUUUUUUAUGAUGGAUUGAGCUUGCGAAAUCCGUCAUAAAAAAAGAUAUAGCGGAAAGCCCGACCUUUA
rnacentral:sRNA from 1 species